rnacentral:misc_RNA from 1 species
UAAUCUCACCCCAGAUUAUUUAUCCGGGAGUGGACUUGGACGCUGCCGGUCACGGCUCGUCUGGAAUGUCUCAGUGUAUCCUGCCCUUUGGCGUAGACAGUGUGAUAGGUAUCUUCACUGCUCGAGUCUCCUCGGAGGCGCGCUCUCGGACGGGCCCUGUGCUGCCAACCGUCUUCGGACAAAAACUGACA